UGAGGAAUAUUGGUCAAUGGACGAGAGUCUGAACCAGCCAAAUCGCGUGAAGGAAGACUGCCCUACGGGUUGUAAACUUCUUUUGUACAGGAAUAAAAGACAUUACGUGUAAUGUAUUGCAUGUACUGUACGAAUAAGCAUCGGCUAACUCCGUGCCAGCAGCCGCGGUAAUACGGAGGAUGCGAGCGUUAUCCGGAUUUAUUGGGUUUAAAGGGUGCGCAGGCGGGAUUUUAAGUCAGCGGUGAAAUUUUCAGGCUCAACCUGAACACUGCCGUUGAAACUGGGAUUCUUGAGUAUGGAUGAAGUAGGCGGAAUUCGUUGUGUAGCGGUGACAUGCUUAGAUAUAACGAGGAACUCCGAUUGCGUAGGCAGCUUACUAAGCCAUAACUGACGCUCAAGCACGAAAGCGUGGGGAUCAAACA
rnacentral:rRNA from 2 species